UACGUAGGGUGCGAGCGUUGUCCGGAAUUAUUGGGCGUAAAGAGCUCGUAGGCGGUCUGUCGCGUUCGAUCGUGAAAACUUGGGCUUAACCCUGAGCUUGCGGUCGAUACGGGCAUGACUGGAGUUCGGCAGGGGGGACGUGGAAUUCCUGGUGUAGCGGUGAAAUGCGCAGAUAUCGGGAGAACACCAGUGGCGAAGGCGGCGACCUGG
rnacentral:rRNA from 1 species